AAAAAAUAUAUUUUUUUAUAUUAAUUAAAUUGCAUGACCCAUUAGAUUUAAUAAUAUAUUUUAAAUUUAUAAUUGCUUGAUUGCAUUUGUCCUUUGUAAGAUGCAUUUUUAAGAUAUCGAAUAAGCUUUCUUAUUUCUUUUUCUUCUCGUUCUUCUAUUUCAUCUUAGUUUUAUUUAGUGCGAAAAUGUAUUAAAAAAUGUGGGCAAUAGAGGAAUCAACUAAUCACAAUAUUUUUUUCAAUCUGAUCCACUUUGAGAUUUAUUAUUAUUUUUUAACUUACGGCGUACUGUGCGCUCAAGUUUCUUUUUCUUAUUCGGGCUUCUCUGCCGAUGACUCCUACGCCGCAGCGACACACCCGCAUCCGCUGCAAUCGGCUUCGACGAGUGCCAAAAAGAGCCCACACGAGUUCCCAUUCCCAGAUUUACGAUCCGUAGAAGCAUUUAAUGGCGAAGUAAGAACGUAUUGUUCUGCCAGUCGCGUAGCGACAAAACAAUGACGCAUCGAAAAAACGUUUUCAGAUACAAAUUAUUAUAUCCUUAAAAACAACACAACUAAGUUAAGAGACUGGUGACUGCGCAACUAAACAUGAAAAUGCAAAAUGCCCGUGAUUUCCGUCUCACGAAGAAAUGACGCAGAAAAUCCUUCGACGAUAGCGUUAAAUAUAUCAGCCGCCCACUUUGUAAGAUGGUUUAUUCGUUCUUCGUACACAUGUGUAUGGGGAAAUCCCACGCUGCCCAAUAAAGUCUCUUUUCCAUGCAUACGAAUGC